UACAGAGGAUGCAAGCGUUAUCCGGAAUGAUUGGGCGUAAAGCGUCCGCAGGUGGUUUUGUAAGUCUGCUGUUAAAGCGUUAGGCUCAACCUAAUAAGGGCAGUGGAAACUAUGAGACUAGAGUAUGUUAGGGGUAGAGGGAAUUCCCAGUGUAGCGGUGAAAUGCGUAGAGAUCAGGAAGAACACCGGUGGCGAAAGCGCUCUGCUAGGCCGCAACUGACACUCAUGGACGAAAGCUAGGGGAGCGAAUGGG
rnacentral:rRNA from 1 species